rnacentral:rRNA from 1 species
UUCUUUAAGGAUUUAAUUUAAAGUAAGACCUGCUCAAUGACAAAUAAAUAGCCGCAGUUUUACUGUGCUAAGGUAGCAUAAUAAUUUGCUUCUUAAUUAGGAGAUAGAAUGAAAGGUUCCACACUAAAAAUCUGUUUCUCUUAAACUAAUAAAAUUAAGAAAGAAGUCAAAACUCUUCUAUUAAAUAGCGGGACGACAAGACCCUGACAAACUUAACAUUUAGUUGGGGAAACAAAUUAAUAACUCUUUAUUUUUCUAAUAUCCAUAACUUUAAUAUUUAAUCAAGAUUAGUUACUGCAGGGAUAACAGCGUUAUUUCUUUUUAGAGACCUUAUCCAAAAAGAAGAUUACGACCUCGAUGUUGAAUUAAUCCUCCUAUAGAACGCAACAGUUCAUUAAAGGUAGUCUGUUCGACUAUUAAAAAAUU